rnacentral:rRNA from 1 species
AGGACGAACGCUGGCGGCGUGCUUAACACAUGCAAGUCGAGCGACGCUCCUCCUUCGGGAGGAUGACGGAGCGGCGAACGGGUGAGUAACACGUGGGCAACCUGCCCCUAGCUCUGGGAUAACCCCGGGAAAUCGGGACUAAUACCGGAUAUGAAGUCGGACGGCAUCGUCUGACUUGGAAAGUUUUUCGGCUAGGGAUGGGCCCGCGGCCUAUCAGCUUGUUGGUGGGGUAAUGGCCUACCAAGGCGACGACGGGUAGCCGGCCUGAGAGGGCGACCGGCCACACUGGGACUGAGACACGGCCCAGACUCCUACGGGAGGCAGCAGUGGGGAAUAUUGCACAAUGGGCGAAAAGCCUGAUGCAGCGACGCCGCGUGAGGGAUGACUGCCUUCGGGUUGUAAACCUCUUUCAGCAGGGACGAAGCGAAAGUGACGGUACCUGCAGAAGAAGCACCGGCCAACUACGCGCCAGCAGCCGC